CUUUACUGUAGCCUGGAAUUGGGUUCGGGCUUUGACUGCGCAGGAUAGGUGGGAGACUAUGAAGUUGCCCUUGUGGGGGCAAUGGAGUCAACGGUGAGAUACCACUCUGUUAAAGCUAGAAUUCUAACCGAUAGCCGUUAUCCGGCAUCGGAACAGUUUCAGGUGGGCAGUUUGACUGGGGCGGUCGCCUCCUAAACGAUAACGGAGGCGCGCAAAGGUUCUCUCAGGCUGGUUGGAAAUCAGCCGUAGAGUGUAAAAGCAUAAGAGAGCUUGACUGUGAGACUGACAAGUCGAGCAGGGACGAAAGUCGGCUUUAGUGAUCCGACGGCACUAAGUGGAAGGGCCGUCGCUAAACGGAUAAAAGUUA
rnacentral:rRNA from 1 species